GCCGAUGGCAGAUUAGGUAGUUGGUGGGAUAAAGCUUACCAAGCCGACGAUCUGUAGCUGGUCUGAGAGGACGACCAGCCACACUGGGACUGAGACACGGCCCAGACUCCUACGGGAGGCAGCAGUGGGGAAUUUUGGACAAUGGGCGAAAGCCUGAUCCAGCAAUGCCGCGUGCAGGAUGAAGGCUUCGGGUUGUAAACNGCUUUUGUACGGAACGAAAAAGCUUCUCCUAAUACGAGAGGCCCAUGACGGUACCGUAAGAAUAAGCACCGGCUAACUACGUGCCAGCAGCCGCGGUAAUACGUAGGGUGCGAGCGUUAAUCGGAAUUACUGGGCGUAAAGCGUGCGCAGGCGGUUAUGUAAGACAGAUGUGAAAUCCCCGGGCUCAACCUGGGAACUGCAUUUGUGACUGCA
rnacentral:rRNA from 1 species